rnacentral:rRNA from 1 species
AUUGAACGCUGGCGGAAUGCUUUACACAUGCAAGUCGAACGGCAGCACGGACUUCGGUCUGGUGGCGAGUGGCGAACGGGUGAGUAAUGUAUCGGAACGUGCCCAGUCGUGGGGAUAACGUAGUGAAAAUUACGCUAAUACCGCAUACGAUCUAUGGAUGAAAGCGGGGGAUCGCAAGACCUCGCGCGAUUGGAGCUGCCGAUAUCAGAUUAGGUAGUUGGUGGGGUAAAGGCCCACCAAGCCAACGAACCGUAGCUGGUCUGAGAGGACGAUCAGGCACACUGGAACUGAGACACGGUCCAGACUCCUACGGGAGGCAGCAGUGGGGAAUUUUGGACAAUGGGCGAAAGCCUGAUCCAGCCAUUCCGCGUGCAGGAUGAAGGCCCUCGGGUUGUAAACUGCUUUUGUACAGAACGAAAAGGUUUCUACUAAUACUAGGAGCUCAUGACGGUACUGUAAGAAUAAGCACCGGCUAACUACGUGCCAGCCGCCGCCGUAA